rnacentral:rRNA from 1 species
GACGAACGCUGGCGGCGUGCUUAACACAUGCAAGUCGAACGGAAAGGCCCUUCGGGGUACUCGAGUGGCGAACGGGUGAGUAACACGUGAGUGAUCUGCCCUGCACUUUGGGAUAAGCCUGGGAAACUGGGUCUAAUACCGAAUAGGACCACGCGCUUCAUGGUGUGUGGUGGAAAGCUUUUGCGGUGUGGGAUGGGCCCGCGGCCUAUCAGCUUGUUGGUGGGGUAAUGGCCUACCAAGGCGACGACGGGUAGCCGGCCUGAGAGGGUGACCGGCCACACUGGGACUGAGAUACGGCCCAGACUCCUACGGGAGGCAGCAGUGGGGAAUAUUGCACAAUGGGCGCAAGCCUGAUGCAGCGACGCCGCGUGAGGGAUGACGGCCUUCGGGUUGUAAACCUCUUUCGCCAGGGACGAAGCGCAAGUGACGGUACCUGGAGAAGAAGGACCGGCCAACUACGUGCCAGCCGCCGCAGUAAUAC